GUUAUCAUAUCACGAAUCAAAAACUCCUACUUACUUUCGUUCCAAGCAUGAACAUACGAAUCCAAGUUCGCUCCGAGCAUACUGAUACAAACAAGAAUCCCGGUUCUCUCCGAGCACAAGGUCCAUCUGUGAGUUGCGAAUCCAAGCUAAAUGGUUACAGAAUCGGUGCGAAACCCAGUCAACAGGUUCGCUGCGAACCAAGGCAACCACGAAACAGUGACCUCUCGCUCCGAAUCUGACUCCAAGCACUGAUUCGCUGUGAAUCACGGUCAACAAACAUUCGCAGGUUAAAGAUUCGCAGGUUGUCAAGCCCCAACCAUUCGCAUGUGAAACUGUUCGUACCAAAGGAUUCACAAAUUCAAUUUUGACUUUUUCCACUGACUACCAAGAACAUCUGCUCAAAUCAAGUCGAUUAAGAUCAAAUUCUGAUUUCAAUCCUUCCCAACAUCACUCUUCCACUUCCCAGUGAGAUUAAACAUUACAAUUUUGUCCAAUAAAACCACAACCCAGUUAUGUUCAUCCGAUCUUUAUCUAUUCAUCACUGGUAAUCGAAAUUGCCAAACACCCAAUCGCUUUAAAGAAAUCGUUAGAGCACAUACGAUCAAGGAUUCACAAAAAUUGGUUCCCAAACAAACCGAUUGAAACAAGUAGGUUAUUUAACCACAAACUCGUAUAAGAAACACCAAGAUUGAUCAACGAUUGAUUACAGAAUGAAUGAAAACAAGGAACACGCUAUAACACAAACUCUAUUAUCAAGAGGAUUAAGUCGAUUGAUAUAGCUUGUAAUCGAAACUGUGAAAAACCCAAACAUAAUUUUGGAUCGAUUAAAUUACAGGAACACAUAAUCCACAUAACAUUGAACGAACAAGGGAUGAACGCUUGCGGAUCAGAACAUUGUGAUUUCAUAUGGCGAUGUAAGAGCAAAUCAAUGAACAGUGAAAGAGAUCCAUGGGCUUAAUGUAUGAGACAAAUGAACAGUACAGGGAUGAUGGUCUCUUGACAAAUACAUCGGAUGAUGUCACACCCCAAAAUUUAGAAUAGGGGAAACGUUCUCGGGUGGAGGACGGUAUGUAAAGUAUCAUAAUAAUGCAAAACAGUAAACAAGCAACAACAUCAUCAAUUGCAUUAAUAGUAGAGUUUAAUACAUGUGUGUUCUUUGUAAUGUAAUAGACACCAAAAAUGAAUGAUCAAAAUAAAAGACGAGUCUUGACUGUGCUCCGUCUUCUCAAAACCUGUCACCGGUACCUGUCUACUGAUGACCAGAGAAUACAAGUUAUUUUGAAAGCGUAGAACAACAUUUAAGCUGGUGAAUUCAUAAGUACUUUAGUGUCAUUUAUUUGCAUAAGUUUGAUGUAAAGACUAGUAAAUGUUCAAUGUAAAUGUUUGUAUAAGUUUGAAAACCCUAGAAAAUCUAAUAUUUCCUACUAGUAUAAAAUGUAGUCUUCUACCAA